rnacentral:misc_RNA from 1 species
ACGUGGGACAGUUUCAAGCCCGAAACCGGGUCGAAUCUUAUAGGCAGUAGGCCGAACCCGAAACAUAAUGGGUCGGGUAACACAAACCUUAACGAUCAAGCAAACGAUUUCGGAUCAUGGAACAGUUUCAAAUCAGGAAUCGGGUCGAACCUUUUGAGUCCGAAACCGAAUCCAAUUGGGUCGGGCUCAAACCAAAAGGAUCCAAUGAACGAAUACGGAUUAUGGAACAGUUUCAAGCCAAAAACCGCCGCCGAUUACAACGGAUUCAACGACGGGUGGAAAAUCAACAACGGAGGACCAACGAUACCGGUGAAAAACCAAAUCCCUAAGGAAAUCGGAAUUAACAACGGCGGGGGGAUUUACAGCAAGGGAUUGUCCUACAAAUUGGGAGUUCCGGCGAACAGUAACGGGAAUUUCAAUUGGAAGAACAACAGAGGAAACGGGGGGGAGGAGGCAGAGCAGGGCGGAGGGAAAGGGGG